GAUAAACGCUGGCGGCGUGCCUAAUACAUGCAAGUCGAGCGAACGGACGAGAAGCUUGCUUCUCUGAUGUUAGCGGCGGACGGGUGAGUAACACGUGGAUAACCUACCUAUAAGACUGGGAUAACUUCGGGAAACCGGAGCUAAUACCGGAUAAUAUUUUGAACCGCAUGGUUCAAAAGUGAAAGACGGUCUUGCUGUCACUUAUAGAUGGAUCCGCGCUGCAUUAGCUAGUUGGUAAGGUAACGGCUUACCAAGGCAACGAUGCAUAGCCGACCUGAGAGGGUGAUCGGCCACACUGGAACUGAGACAUGGUCCAGACUCCUACGGGAGGCAGCAGUAGGGAAUCUUCCGCAAUGGGCGAAAGCCUGACGGAGCAACGCCGCGUGAGUGAUGAAGGUCUUCGGAUCGUAAAACUCUGUUAUUAGGGAAGAACAUAUGUGUAAGUAACUGUGCACAUCUUGACGGUACCUAAUCAGAAAGCCACGGCUAACUACGUGCCAGCAGCCGCGGUAAUACGUAGGUGGCAAGCGUUAUCCGGAAUUAUUGGGCGUAAAGCGCGCGUAGGCGGUUUUUUAAGUCUGAUGUGAAAGCCCACGGCUCAACCGUGGAGGGUCAUUGGAAACUGGAAAACUUGAGUGCAGAAGAGGAAAGUGGAAUUCCAUGUGUAGCGGUGAAAUGCGCAGAGAUAUGGAGGAACACCAGUGGCGAAGGCGACUUUCUGGUCUGUAACUGACGCUGAUGUGCGAAAGCGUGGGGAUCAAACAGGAUUAGAUACCCUGGUAGUCCACGCCGUAAACGAUGAGUGCUAAGUGCUAGGGGGUUUCCGCCCCUUAGUGCUGCAGCUAACGCAUUAAGCACUCCGCCUGGGGAGUACGACCGCAAGGUUGAAACUCAAAGGAAUUGACGGGGACCCGCACAAGCGGUGGAGCAUGUGGUUUAAUUCGAAGCAACGCGAAGAACCUUACCAAAUCUUGACAUCCUUUGACGACUCUAGAGAUAGAGCCUUCCCCUUCGGGGGACAAAGUGACAGGUGGUGCAUGGUUGUCGUCAGCUCGUGUCGUGAGAUGUUGGGUUAAGUCCCGCAACGAGCGCAACCCUUAAGCUUAGUUGCCAUCAUUAAGUUGGGCACUCUAAGUUGACUGCCGGUGACAAACCGGAGGAAGGUGGGGAUGACGUCAAAUCAUCAUGCCCCUUAUGAUUUGGGCUACACACGUGCUACAAUGGACAAUACAAAGGGCAGCGAAACCGCGAGGUCAAGCAAAUCCCAUAAAGUUGUUCUCAGUUCGGAUUGUAGUCUGCAACUCGACUACAUGAAGCUGGAAUCGCUAGUAAUCGUAGAUCAGCAUGCUACGGUGAAUACGUUCCCGGGUCU
rnacentral:rRNA from 1 species